UACGUAGGGUGCAAGCGUUGUCCGGAAUUAUUGGGCGUAAAGAGCUCGUAGGCGGGCUGUCGCGUCUGCUGUGAAAACUCAGGGCUUAACCCUGAGCUUGCAGUGGGUACGGGCAGACUAGAGUGCGGUAGGGGAGACUGGAAUUCCUGGUGUAGCGGUGGAAUGCGCAGAUAUCAGGAGGAACACCGAUGGCGAAGGCAGAUCUCUGGGCCGUAACUGACGCUGAGGAGCGAAAGCGUGGGGAGCGAACAGG
rnacentral:rRNA from 1 species